rnacentral:misc_RNA from 1 species
AAGUCGUAACAAGGUUUCCGUAGGUGAACCUGCGGAAGGAUCAUUGACAAAUCUGAACAAAAAAGGGUGUGAGAAGAGGGAGAAGAGAUUCUUUCUUUUCUCGCACCACAUUCCAACCUGUGAAUUGGUGGUGCUACCGAAUGGUGAUGCCGCUGAACAUUUACGUAUUAUAUGUCUUAAAAUAACAAAACAAAUACAACUUUUAGCAAUGGAUCUCUUGGCUUCUGUA